rnacentral:rRNA from 1 species
AGUUGUAAUUUGCAGAGGAUGCUUUUGGCGCGGUGCCUUCCGAGUUCCCUGGAACGGGACGCCAUAGAGGGUGAGAGCCCCGUCUGGUCGGACACCAAGCCAGUGUAAAGCUCCUUCGACGAGUCGAGUAGUUUGGGAAUGCUGCUCUAAAUGGGAGGUAUAUGUCUUCUAAAGCUAAAUACCGGCCAGAGACCGAUAGCGCACAAGUAGAGUGAUCGAAAGAUGAAAAGCACUUUGAAAAGAGGGUUAAACAGUACGUGAAAUUGUUGAAAGGGAAGCGUUUGUGACCAGACUUGGGCCCGGUGAAUCAUCCAGCGUUCUCGCUGGUGCACUUUGCCGGGCUCAGGCCAGCAUCAGUUCGCCGCGGGGGAUAAAAGCUUCGGGAACGUGGCUCCCUCGGGAGUGUUAUAGCCCGUUGCACAAUACCCUGUGGUGGACUGAGGUUCGCGCUCCGCAAGGAUGCUGGCGUAAUGGUCAUCANCGACCCGUCUUGA